rnacentral:lncRNA from 1 species
CACAGUGGCUCAUGCCUGUAAUCUCAACGCUUUGGGAGGCCAAGGCUAGCAGAUUGCUUGAGCUCAGGAGUUCGAGACCAGGCUGGGCAACAUGGCAAAACCCCAUCUCUACAAAAAAUACAAAAAUUAGUCAGGUGUGGUGGCGUGUGCCUGUGGUCCCAGCUACUUGGGAGGAUGAGGUGGGCAGAUGGCUUGAGCCCAGGAGGUUGAAGCUGCAGUGAGCCAAGAUUGCGCCACUGCACUCCAGUAUGGGCAGCAGAGCGAGAUUCCGUC